GCAUGAAAGUGAAGAGGAGCCUCGCGCCCCUCCAGGCAGGAUCUGUCGUCCGUUUUGUGGGCGGCAGCGCACUGCCGGCCCGUCUCGGCCGCUUAUGACGGCGAGGCGGAACAAGAGCGCACGCUCUGGGACCCGAAAGAUGGUGAACUAUGCCUGAGCAGGACGAAGUCAGGGGAAACUCUGAUGGAGGUCCGCAGCGAUUCUGACGUGCAAAUCGAUCGUCAAACUUGGGUAUAGGGGCGAAAGACUAAUCGAACCAUCUAGUAGCUGGUUCCUUCCGAAGUUUCCCUCAGGAUAGCUGGCACUAAUCUCGCUGCAGUUUUAUCCGGUACAGCGAAUGAUUAGAGGGAUUGGGGAUUUCUUGUCCUCAACCUAUUCUCAAACUUUAAAUGGGUAAGAAGCACGACUCGCCUGAAACAUUUUACUACGGAGUCGCUGCCUACUAUUGAAUGCAUGAGUGCCAAGUGGGCCAAUUUUGGUAAGCAGAACUGGCGCUGUGGGAUGAACCAAACGUCCGGUUAAGGCGCCCGAGGCGGACGCUCAUCAGACCCCAUAAAAGGUGUUGGUUGGUAUAGACAGCAGGACGGUGGCCAUGGAAGUCGGCAUUCGCUAAGGAGUGUGUAACAACUCACCUGCCGAAUCAACCGGCCCUGA
rnacentral:rRNA from 1 species